rnacentral:rRNA from 1 species
CUACGGGGCGCUGCAGUGAGGAAUAUUGCGCAAUGGGGGGAACCCUGAUGCAGCAACGCCGCGUGGAGGAUGACGCAUUUCGGUGUGUAAACUCCUUUUAUAUGUCAAGAAAAUGACGGUAGCAUAUGAAUAAGCACCGGCUAACUCCGUGCCAGCAGCCGCGGUAAUACGGAGGGUGCAAGCGUUACUCGGAAUCACUGGGCGUAAAGGACGCGUAGGCGGGUUGGAAAGUCAGGUGUGAAAUCCUACAGCUUAACUGUAGAACUGCACUUGAAACUUCUAAUCUAGAGUAUGGGAGGGGGAGAUGGAAUUAGUGGUGUAGGGGUAAAAUCCGUAGAUAUCACUAGGAAUACCUAAAGCGAAGGCGAUCUCCUGGAACAUUACUGACGCUAAGGUGCGAAAGCGUGGGGAGCAAACAGGAUUAGAUACCCCCGUAGUC